rnacentral:rRNA from 2 species
UUUCCAGAGAUGGAUUGGUGCCUUCGGGAACUGUGAGACAGGUGCUGCAUGGCUGUCGUCAGCUCGUGUUGUGAAAUGUUGGGUUAAGUCCCGCAACGAGCGCAACCCUUAUCCUUUGUUGCCAGCGGUUAGGCCGGGAACUCAAAGGAGACUGCCAGUGAUAAACUGGAGGAAGGUGGGGAUGACGUCAAGUCAUCAUGGCCCUUACGACCAGGGCUACACACGUGCUACAAUGGCGCAUACAAAGAGAAGCGACCUCGCGAGAGCAAGCGGACCUCAUAAAGUGCGUCGUAGUCCGGAUUGGAGUCUGCAACUCGACUCCAUGAAGUCGGAAUCGCUAGUAAUCGUGGAUCAGAAUGCCACGGUGAAUACGUUCCCGGGCCUUGUACACACCGCCCGUCACACCAUGGGAGUGGGUUGCAAAAGAAGUAGGUAGCUUAACCUUCGGGAGGGCGCUUACCACUUUGUGAUUCAUGACUGGGGUGAAGUCGUAACAAGGUAACCGUAGGGGAACCUGC